rnacentral:misc_RNA from 1 species
AAGGAGUUCAUCAUUUGUGCAAGUGUUUUAGUGACAAACUAAUAUGCUAAAUGAAAGUAAACAAUGGGACUGAAUUGCACCAUUAACCGGUUUUUAUAUAUAGGUUUGAGUCAGAGCAUAAAUGUUGGGACCCGAAAGAUGGUGAACUAUACCUGAAUAGGGCGAAGCCAGAGGAAACUCUGGUGGAAGCUUGUAGCGAUUCUGACGUGCAAAUCGAUCGUCAAAUUUGGGUAUAGGGGCGAAAGACUAAUCGAGCAAUCUAGUAGCUGGUUCCUGC